GACGAACGCUGGCGGCGUGCUUAACACAUGCAAGUCGAACGGAAAGGCCCUGCUUUUGUGGGGUGCUCGAGUGGCGAACGGGUGAGUAACACGUGAGUAACCUGCCCUUGACUUUGGGAUAACUUCAGGAAACUGGGGCUAAUACCGGAUAGGAGCCCCUGCUGCAUGGUGGGGGUUGGAUAGUCUGGGCGGUUGGGGAUGGACUCGCGGCUUAUCAGCUUGUUGGUGGGGUAGUGGCUUACCAAGGCUUUGACGGGUAGCCGGCCUGAGAGGGUGAACGGCCACAUUGGGACUGAGAUACGGCGCAGACUCCUACGGGAGGCAGCAGUGGGGAAUAUUGCACAAUGGGCGGAAGCCUGAUGCAGCAACGCCGCGUGCGGGAUGACGGCCUUCGGGUUGUAAACCGCUUUCGCCUGUGACGAAGCGUGAGUGACGGUAAUGGGUAAAGAAGCACCGGCUAACUACGUG
rnacentral:rRNA from 1 species